AUGCCAGCAAAUUUGGAAAACUCAGCAGUGGCCACAGAACUGGAAAAGUCAGUUUUCAUUCCAAUCUCAAAGAAAGGCAAUGCCAAAGAAUGCUCAAACAACCGCACAAUUGCACUCAUCUCACACGCUAGUAAAGUAAUGCUCAAAAUUCUCCAAGCCAAGCUUCAGCAGUACAUGAACCAUGAACUUCCUGAUGUUCAAGCCGGUUUUAGAAAAGGCAGAGGAACCAGAUAUCAAAUUGUCAACAUCCGCUGGAUCAUGGAAAAAGCAACAGAGUUCCAGAAAAACAUCUAUUUCUGCUUUAUUGACUAUGCCAAAGCCUUUGACUGUGUGGAUCACAAUAAACGAUUGAAAAUUCUUCAAGAGUUGGGAAUACCAGACCAUCUGACUUGCCUCUUUAGAAACCUAUAUGCAGGUCAGGAAGCAACAGUUAGAACUGGACAUGGAACAACAGACUGGUUCCAAAUUGUGAAAGGAGUCCAUCAAGACUGUAUACUGUCACCCUGCUUAUUUAACUUAUAUGCAGAGUACAUCAUGAGAAAUGCUGGGCUGGAAGAAGCUAGAAUCAAGAUUGCCGGGAUAAAUAUCAAUAACCUCAGAUAUGCAAAUGACACCACCCAUAUGGCAGAAAGUGAAGAGGAACUAAAAAGCCUCUUGAUGAAAGUGAAAGAGGAGAGUGAAAAAGUUGGCUUAAAGCUCAGCAUUCAGAAAACGAAGAUCAUGGCAUCUGGUCCCAUCACUUCAUGGGAAAUAGAUGGGGAAACAGGGGAAACAGUGUCAGACUUUAUUUUUUUGAGCUCCAAAAUCACUGCAGCUGGUGAUUGCAACCAUGAAAUUAAAAGACACUUACUCCUUGGAAAGAAAGUUACGACCAACCUAGAUAGUAUAUUCAAAAGCAGAGACAUUACUUUGCCAAAGAAGAUCAGUCUAAUCAAGGCUAUGGUUUUUCCAGUGGUCAUAUAUGAAUGUAAGAGUUGGACUGUGAAGAAAGCUGAGCGCUGA
rnacentral:lncRNA from 1 species